rnacentral:rRNA from 2 species
UCGGAUGGGGUGAGUAACGCGUGAGAAUCUGCCCUUAGGAGGGGGACAACAGUUGGAAACGACUGCUAAUACCCCAUAUGCCGAGAGGUGAAACAUUAAUGGCCUGAGGAGGAGCUCGCGUCUGAUUAGCUAGUUGGUGGGGUAACGGCCUACCAAGGCGACGAUCAGUAGCUGGUCUGAGAGGAUGAUCAGCCACACUGGGACUGAGACACGGCCCAGACUCCUACGGGAGGCAGCAGUGGGGAAUUUUCCGCAAUGGGCGAAAGCCUGACGGAGCAAGACCGCGUGAGGGAGGAAGGUCUGUGGAUUGUAAACCUCUUUUCUCAGGGAAGAAGAACUGACGGUACCUGAGGAAUCAGCAUCGGCUAACUCCGUGCCAGCAGCCGCGGUAAUACGGAGGAUGCAAGCGUUAUCCGGAAUUAUUGGGCGUAAAGCGUCCGUAGGUGGCUAAGCAAGUCUGCUGUUAAAGAGCGGAGCUAAACUCCGUAAAGGCGGUGGAAACUGCAUAGCUAGAGUGUGGUAGGGGUAGAGGGAAUUCCCAGUGUAGCGGUGAAAUGCGUAGAUAUUGGGAAGAACACCGGUGGCGAAGGCGCUCUACUG